UUCACGAGCCUCAUUGUAAGCAUCAAGAGCUUCCCCUGAUAAAGCCAUGACAAAGGGUUGAGACAUGUUUUCACAUUCUUCUCUAGCAGCAGGACUUUCUUGCAUUGAGGGAUACUUUAGUGGACUGAUUGAGAGCUCUCCCCAAUUUCUACGUUCUGAUUCUAUCAUUUGUAUUUUUCUUUGGCUGUUCGAAGUCUUUGUCUCAAGUUCAUUUACACGUUCUUCUAGUCUUGAUUGAAUAACCUCAUGCAGACGCAAGCUAAGCUGCCUGGGAGAAACUGCAUAAUUUGCAGAGUGAUGAGUGGUAUGGGUGCUAGCUCGCAUCUAGGCCUAUGGCACUGGCCAAAAUCUAUUGAAAAGCAUGGAAGAUCAUCAUAUGCCAUAUUUCAUGGAAGAGUAUGUAAGUCUGAGCCUUGAACGGCUACAUGUUCAUCACAAGAAGUACCCUUGAAAUCUCAGAAACUGUUGUUUUUUGAAAAGGAAGACAAUUAUCUUUCUGCAUCACUAUCAACAUAAGACAUUAUCAUAGAAGGAAAGUUGGUGAGGUUGGAGGAUGUGUCAAAGUGGGCAACAACAUCCAGUUAACAGCCCACGAUGGCAAAAAGCAACAUAGUCAUCAAGCGGAAAUCUUAGAGCAAGAGCAGAUGGGUGUCACUAAUGCUUUGAUUAAAUGGUAUAUUAUAGUUUGCUAAAAAUAGCCACGAGAUAAUGCAGCAGACCUAAGAUGAAAGAUAUAUUAGUUUAGUCAAAAGAAACGUUGUCCUCAUGCCUAAGAUGAAAUAUGCCUUCAUAAAUAGAUUUUUAUAGAUUUGUGUAUGUUAUAUAUUUUGAAUUAUGUUAGAGAUUUUGUAUUAUCAACAAUUUACUA